rnacentral:rRNA from 1 species
CCUACGGGUGGCUGCAGUGGGGAAUUUUGCGCAAUGGGCGCAAGCCUGACGCAGCGACGCCGCGUGAGGGAUGAAGGCCUUCGGGUUGUAAACCUUUGUCUAGGGGGACGAAAGCUAAGAGGAGGGAAUGACUUUUAGUUGCCGGUACCCCUGGAGGAAGCCCCGGCUAACUACGUGCCAGCAGCCGCGGUAAUACGUAGGGGGCGAGCGUUGUCCGGAAUUACUGGGCGUAAAGGGCGUGUAGGCGGUCAUAAAAGUCAGGUGUGAAAUACCGAAGCUCAACGUUGGGGUUGCACAUGAAACUAUAUGGCUUGAGGGCAGGAGAGGAGAGUGGAAUUCCCGGUGUAGCGGUGAAAUGCGCAGAUAUCGGGAGGAACACCAGUGGCGAAGGCGACUCUCUGGACUGACCCUGACGCUGAGGCGCGAAAGCGUGGGUAGCGAACAUGAUUAGAUACCCUAGUAGUC